rnacentral:rRNA from 1 species
GCGCGCAAAUUACCCAAUCCUGACACGGGGAGGUAGUGACAAUAAAUAACAAUACCGGGCGCGUUAGUGUCUGGUAAUUGGAAUGAGUACAAUCUAAAUCCCUUAACGAGGAUCCAUUUGGAGGGCAAGUCUGGUGCCAG